rnacentral:ncRNA from 1 species
CCGACAGGCCGUGACUGGCGCGCUGGGAUGGGACGGACCAUCGGGGAGCGGCCUGCGAGUGUGAACAAGUGCCGUGCGCCUGGGCCGAACCG